rnacentral:rRNA from 1 species
GAUAAACGCUGGCGGCGUGCCUAAUACAUGCAAGUCGAGCGAACGGACGAGAAGCUUGCUUCUCUGAUGUUAGCGGUGGACGGGUGAGUAACACGUGGAUAACCUACCUAUAAGACUGGGAUAACUUCGGGAAACCGGAGCUAAUACCGGAUAAUAUUUUGAACCGCAUGGUUCAAAAGUGAAAGACGGUCUUGCUGUCACUUAUAGAUGGAUCCGCGCUGCAUUAGCUAGUUGGUAAGGUAACGGCUUACCAAGGCAACGAUGCAUAGCCGACCUGAGAGGGUGAUCGGCCACACUGGAACUGAGACACGGUCCAGACUCCUACGGGAGGCAGCAGUAGGGAAUCUUCCGCAAUGGGCGAAAGCCUGACGGAGCAACGCCGCGUGAGUGAUGAAGGUCUUCGGAUCGUAAAACUCUGUUAUUAGGGAAGAACAUAUGUGUAAGUAACUGUGCACAUCUUGACGGUACCUAAUCAGAAAGCCACGGCUAACUACGUGCCAGCAGCCGCGGUAAUACGUAGGUGCAAGCGUUAUCCCGGAAUUAUUGGGCGCAAAGCGCGCGUAGGCGGUUUUCUAAGUCUGAUGUGAAAGCCCACGGCUCAACCGUGAGGGGUCAUUGGAAACUGGAAAACUUGAGUGCAGAAGAGGAAAGUGGAAUUCCAUGUGUAGCGGUGAAAUGCGCAGAGAUAUGGAGGAACACCAGUGGCGAAGGCGACUUUCUGGUCUGUAACUGACGCUGAUGUGCGAAAGCGUGGGGAUCAAACAGGAUUAGAUACCCUGGUAGUCCACGCCGUAAACGAUGAGUGCUAAGUGUUAGGGGGUUUCCGCCCCUUAGUGCUGCAGCUAACGCAUUAAGCACUCCGCCUGGGGAGUACGACCGCAAGGUUGAAACUCAAAGGAAUUGACGGGGACCCGCACAAGCGGUGGAGCAUGUGGUUUAAUUCGAAGCAACGCGAAGAACCUUACCAAAUCUUGACAUCCUUUGACAACUCUAGAGAUAGAGCCUUCCCCUUCGGGGGACAAAGUGACAGGUGGUGCAUGGUUGUCGUCAGCUCGUGUCGUGAGAUGUUGGGUUAAGUCCCGCAACGAGCGCAACCCUUAAGCUUAGUUGCCAUCAUUAAGUUGGGCACUCUAAGUUGACUGCCGGUGACAAACCGGAGGAAGGUGGGGAUGACGUCAAAUCAUCAUGCCCCUUAUGAUUUGGGCUACACACGUGCUACAAUGGACAAUACAAAGGGCAGCGAAACCGCGAGGUCAAGCAAAUCCCAUAAAGUUGUUCUCAGUUCGGAUUGUAGUCUGCAACUCGACUACAUGAAGCUGGAAUCGCUAGUAAUCGUAGAUCAGCAUGCUACGGUGAAUACGUUCCCGGGUCU